UACGUAGGGUCCGAGCGUUGUCCGGAAUUAUUGGGCGUAAAGAGCUCAUAGGCGGUUUGUCGCGUCUGCUGUGAAAUCCCGAGGCUCAACCUCGGGCCUGCAGUGGGUACGGGCAGACUGGAGUGCGGUAGGGGAGAAUGGAAUUCCUGGUGUAGCGGUGGAAUGCGCAGAUAUCAGGAGGAACACCGAUGGCGAAGGCAGUUCUCUGGGCCGUAACUGACGCUGAGGAGCGAAAGCGUGGGGAGCGAACAGG
rnacentral:rRNA from 1 species